GACGAACGCUGGCGGCGUGCCUAACACAUGCAAGUCGAACGGAAAGGCCCUGAGUUUGCGGCGUGCUGGAGUGGCGAACGGGUGUGUAACACGUGUGUAACCUGCCCUUGACUUUGGGAUAACAUCAGGAAACUGGGGCUAAUACCGGAUAGGAGAUCCUGCUGCAUGGUGGGGGUGGGAAAGUUUCGGUGGUUGGGGAUGGACUCGCGGCUUAUCAGCUUGUUGGUGGGGUAGUGACUGACAAAGGCUUUGACUGGUAGCCGGCCUGAGAGGGUGGCCGGCCACAUUGGGCCUGAGAUACGGCCCAGACUCCUACAUGAGGCAGCAGUGGCGAAUCUUACACAAUCGGCGCAAGCCUGAUGCGGCAACGCCGCGUGCGGGAUGACUGCCUUCGGGUUAUGAACCGCUUUCGCCUGUAACGAAGCUAUAGUGACGGUACUGGGUAAAGAAGCACCGGCUAACUACGUG
rnacentral:rRNA from 1 species